CCUACGGGAGGCUGCAGUGAGGAAUAUUGGUCAAUGGCCGUAAGGCUGAACCAGCCAAGUCGCGUGAAGGAAGAAGGAUCUAUGGUUUGUAAACUUCUUUUAUAGGGGAAUAAAGGUAUCCACGUGUGGAUAUUUGCAUGUACCCUAUGAAUAAGCAUCGGCUAACUCCGUGCCAGCAGCCGCGGUAAUACGGAGGAUGCGAGCGUUAUCCGGAUUUAUUGGGUUUAAAGGGUGCGUAGGUUGUUUUUUAAGUCAGCGGUGAAAGUUUGUGGCUCAACCAUAAAAUUGCCGUUGAAACUGUAAGACUUGAGUGUGUUUGAGGUAGGCGGAAUGCGUGGUGUAGCGGUGAAAUGCAUAGAUAUCGCGCAGAACUCCGAUUGCGAAGGCAGCAUGCCGGCUCCACACUGACGCUGAGGCACGAAAGCGUGGGUAUCGAACAGGAUUAGAUACCCCAGUAGUC
rnacentral:rRNA from 1 species